rnacentral:rRNA from 1 species
GACGAACGCUGGCGGCGUGCUUAACACAUGCAAGUCGAACGGAAAGGCCCUGCUUUUGUGGGGUGCUCGAGUGGCGAACGGGUGUGUAACACGUGAGUAACCUGCCCUUGACUUUGGGAUAACUUCAGGAAACUGGGGCUAAUACCGGAUAGGAGCUCCUGCUGCAUGGUGGGGGUUGGAAAGUUUCGGCGGUUGGGGAUGGACUCGCGGCUUAUCAGCUUGUUGGUGGGGUAGUGGCUUACCAAGGCUGUGACGGGUAGCCGGCCUGAGAGGGUGACCGGCCACAUUGGGACUGAGAUACGGCCCAGACUCCUACGGGAGGCAGCAGUGGGGAAUAUUGCACAAUGGGCGGAAGCCUGAUGCAGCGACGCCGCGUGCGGGAUGACGGCCUUCGGGUUGUAAACCGCUUUCGCCUGUGACGAAGCGUGAGUGACGGUAAUGGGUGAAGAAGCACCGGCUAACUACGUG